UUACGGUAAUAUCGCGUUGAAAUAUCGGUUCCCGCACGAUCUCCGAAGUUAAGAAACAUCGAGCUUGGUCAGUACCUAGAUGAGUGACCGCUAGGGAAUAUCAGAUUCUGU